rnacentral:misc_RNA from 1 species
GGGCUUGAUGCCCAGCUAGAAAUUUAAUUAGAAGAUUACCGAAUGUGAAAAGACAUCAUCAAGCCCCAUUAUCUCAUCAUCCUGAUUUCAGAUUAUUCAUAAUCAUUUUUCAAAUAUUGCUUCUUUCUUAUCUCUGUAACAAGAAUUAAGUAAUCCUUCCUUUUGGAAUGGUGUAAAUCUAUUAUACUUUCUAUGCUUCCGUCAUUUUCAGUAUCUUGUUCAUUAUCUAUGUAUACAUGGUUCACUCUAGACAUGCCAUGUCUUCAUGAAUAUCAUGAGAGUAGAUUUUCUCGGAG